rnacentral:rRNA from 1 species
UCACUUUCAACAACGGAUCUCUUGGUUCUCGCAUCGAUGAAGAACGUAGCGAAGUGCGAUAAGUAAUGUGAAUUGCAGAAUUCCGUGAAUCAUCGAAUCUUUGAACGCAAAUUGCACUCUCUUCGGAGAGUAUGCCUGUUUGAGGGUCAUUU